GCCCCGUCACCGCGGCAACCGCGCUCCUCCCGCCGCCAUGGCGGAGCCGCAGGCCGGGCCGGUUUCUUCGUCGCCAGCGGUGUUGGGACCGCCAAAGCCCCAUCCUAAAAGAGUGCCGGAGAUACCCAUGCUAGAGAGGAGGAACUGGUUCAUCUAUCUGCUCUACGUUCGCAGAGAGUACGACGAGUGCAAGGUAGGAGUGGCUUCUGAGACUUUGCACUGGAAAGGAUUUUUACUGCUGUUAGCAAACGGCAGUUUUCAUGCCAGGACAGAGCCAGCUGUGCUGUGAUGGGUGUCCCAGGUCACCUGGUGAGCCAACAAAGGGCCCUAGGGUCCUCUCGUUUCCCAUUAAUCUGUAUGUUGUCAAAAUAACAUCUGUAGUUUGAACCAAGGCUGUCUAAUCA
rnacentral:lncRNA from 1 species